GAUGAAGAACGUAGCGAAAUGCGAUAAGUAAUGUGAGUUGCAGAAUUCAGUGAAUCAUCGAAUCUUUGAACGCACAUUGCGCCCUCUGGUAUUCCGGGGGGCAUGCCUGUUCGAGCGUCAUUAUAACCACUCAAGCUCUCGCUUGGUAUUGGAGUUCGCGAUCUCGCGGCUCCUAAAAUCAGUGGCGGUGCCUGUCGGCUCUACGCGUAGUAAUACUCCUCGCGAUUGAGUCCGGUAGGUUUACUUGCCAGCAACCCCCAAUUUUUACAGGUUGACCUCGGAUCAGGUAGGGAUACCCGCUGAACUUAAGCAUAUCAAUAAGCGGAGGA
rnacentral:misc_RNA from 1 species